rnacentral:rRNA from 1 species
GUGGCGAACGGGUGAGUAAAGUAUCGGAACGUACCUUUCAGUGGGGGAUAACGUAGCGAAAGUUACGCUAAUACCGCAUAUUCUGUGAGCAGGAAAGCAGGGGAUCGCAAGACCUUGCGCUGAUUGAGCGGCCGAUAUCAGAUUAGCUAGUUGGUGAGGUAAAGGCUCACCAAGGCGACGAUCUGUAGCGGGUCUGAGAGGAUGAUCCGCCACACUGGAACUGAGACACGGUCCAGACUCCUACGGGAGGCAGCAGUGGGGAAUUUGGAACAAUGGGGGCAACCCUGAUCCAGCCAUGCCGCGUGAGUGAAGAAGGCCUUCGGGUUGUAAAGCUCUUUCGGCCGGGAAGAAAUCGUAUGGGUUAAUACCCUGUGCGGAUGACGGUACCGGCAUAAGAAGCACCGGCUAACUACGUGCCAGCAGCCGCGGUAAUACGUAGGGUGCGAGCGUUAAUCGGAAUUACUGGGCGUAAAGCGUGCGCAGGCGGUUUUGUAAGACAGGCGUGAAAUCCCCGGGCUCAACCUGGGAACUGCGCUUGUGACUGCAAGGCUAUAGUAUGGCAGAGGGGGGUGGAAUUCCACGUGUAGCAGUGAAAUGCGUAGAGAUGUGGAGGAACACCAAUGGCGAAGGCAGCCCCCUGGGCCAAUACUGACGCUCAUGCACGAAAGCGUGGGUAGCAAACAGGAUUAGAUACCCUGGUAGUCCACGCCCUAAACGAUGUCAACUAGGUGUUGGGUGGGUAAAACCAUUUAGUACCGGAGCUAACGCGUGAAGUUGACCGCCUGGGGAGUACGGCCGCAAGGUUAAAACUCAAAGGAAUUGACGGGGACCCGCACAAGCGGUGGAUGAUGUGGAUUAAUUCGAUGCAACGCGAAAAACCUUACCUACCCUUGACAUGUCCAGGAGCCUGAAGAGAUUUGGGUGUGCCCGAAAGGGAACUGGAACACAGGUGCUGCAUGGCUGUCGUCAGCUCGUGUCGUGAGAUGUUGGGUUAAGUCCCGCAACGAGCGCAACCCUUGUCGUUAAUUGCCAUCAUUUAGUUGGGCACUUUAACGAGACUGCCGGUGACAAACCGGAGGAAGGUGGGGAUGACGUCAAGUCCUCAUGGCCCUUAUGGGUAGGGCUUCACACGUCAUACAAUGGUCGGUACAAAGGGUUGCCAACCCGCGAGGGGGAGCCAAUCCCAGAAAGCCGAUCGUAGUCCGGAUCGCAGGCUGCAACUCGCCUGCGUGAAGUCGGAAUCGCUAGUAAUCGUGGAUCAGCAUGUCACGGUGAAUACGUUCCCGGGUCUUGUACACACCGCCCGUCACACCAUGGGAGCGGGUUCCGCCAGAAGUAGGUAGCCUAACCGCAAGGGGGGCGCUUACCACGGCGGGGUUCGUGAC